rnacentral:rRNA from 1 species
UACAGAGGGUGCAAGCGUUAAUCGGAAUUACUGGGCGUAAAGCGUGCGUAGACGGUUACAUAAGUCGGGUGUGAAAGCCCCGGGCUCAACCUGGGAAUUGCAUUCGAGACUGCGUAGCUAGGGUGCGGAAGAGGGAAGCGGAAUUUCCGGUGUAGCGGUGAAAUGCGUAGAUAUCUGGAGGAACACCGGUGGCGAAGGCGGCAUCCUGGACCGGUAUUGACGCUGAGGCGCGAAAGCUAGGGGAGCAAACGGG